rnacentral:lncRNA from 1 species
CAUGUAUAGAAAACUUGCUUUGUAAGUUAAAACAUGUGUCUUGAAAAUUGGAUAUAUGUGGGAGGUUCUGUAGAACAUUACCAUGUAGUUCUUUAGUAGAUAGUAUAUAUAAAAACAAGAGUGAAGCCUUCUUUACUUUUAUCAACUCCUUUCUUGUUAUUAGUUUAGUUUCAAGUGUUUCUUGUUUUUUAGCUUUUCACAGUAAUCAUUCUAGUUUCUUAUGAAAUUUAUUUACUUUCUUAUUUCUAGUUUGUCAACUUUCUUUGAUUCAUUUCUCACUUAUUCAUGUAUCUUCUUUGAAUUCUUGUCCCUAAUAUGAUGUUUAAUACACUUUUUUUCAUUUAAUUUAAAGCCUUAAUAAAAAAUUAA